GCGACCGUGGCCAAGCGGUAAGGCGGGAGGCUGCAACCCUCUGAUCCCCGGUUCGAUUCCGGGCGGUCGCU
rnacentral:tRNA from 1 species